rnacentral:rRNA from 1 species
GACGAACCGAGCGAACGUUGUUCGGAUUUACUGGGCGUAAAGGGCGCGUAGGCGGUCGUGACAAGUCACUUGUGAAAUCUCCGGGCUUAACUCGGAACGGUCAAGUGAUACUGUCGGACUAGAGUACAGAAGGGGCAACUGGAAUUCUCGGUGUAGCGGUGAAAUGCGUAGAUAUCGAGAGGAACACCUGCGGCGAAGGCGGGUUGCUGGGCUGAUACUGACGCUGAGGCGCGAAAGCCAGGGGAGCGAACGGG